GGGAGCGGGCGGGGCUGUGCAGGGUAGACGUGGAGGGGAAAGUGGGCCCCACAGACCUGCGUCGCCCGAACGAACAGGCCCCGCCCAGGCCCCGACCCUGCUUUUCCACCCGGGGUCCGCCGCCUCGAGCUGGACCAAUUAGCGUGGGCAGAGCGCGUGGGGUACCUAGGCCGCUUCUUACUGGCGCAGAGCAGGAGAGAAGGCGUUCUUCUUAGGCGGCUGCAGGUCUUAGUGGCGGCGCUGGAGGCCAUGACUGUGGCGAAGGUGACAGUUGGGUCCAGGUGGUCUUACCCGCAACACAUCUUGUUUCAGUGGGAUGGAUGCUGCCCAAAGUGGCCCACAGGCAACACUCCCUGGAGCCCCAAAUGGCACAAGGGCUUCUUAGUGAGAGGUCUUCUUGGAACAUUAAGAACAUUCUGCAAGGUUUCUUUCUGGCUCUCUGAAGUUGUCAGGGAGAAAAAUAUCACCAGUCUUGAGGGUUUCAGAAGCUGGUGAUCUGUCUGCUUCCCUGGCUGUCCAGUAACAUGGAAACAGACCACAUGGAAGGGAGUCACGUGGGAGAGGAGGUGGAUUCCCAGGCCCUGGGCAGUGCCACAGUGAGCCAUGCUUCUUGCUGAUGUCCCAACACAGAUGUCUGAAUCUGACAAUUUUCACAGGACAACACCUCCUCAGCCAAGCAUAAUCCUCUUCAUGUUCGAACCCAAGUAAUUGGUGAUGGCAUUUUGGGGUCAUGGGACUGCAAGAACUGCCUUAAGUACAUGUAUCCUAAGGCAACACA